rnacentral:miRNA from 10 species
GGAGGUCUGUUUCUGUCUUUGGUUAUCUAGCUGUAUGAGUUUUAAAUCCCUGUCAUAAAGCUAGAUAACCGAAAGUAGAAAU